CUCAGAUUGAACGCUGGCGGCAGGCCUAACACAUGCAAGUCGAGCGGUAGCACAAGAGAGCUUGCUCUCUGGGUGACGAGCGGCGGACGGGUGAGUAAUGUCUGGGAAACUGCCUGAUGGCGGGGGAUAACUAGUGGAAACGGUAGCUAAUACCGCAUAACGUCGCAAGACCAAAGUGGGGGACCUUCGGGCCUCACGCCAUCAGAUGUGCCCAGGUGGGAUUAGCUGGUAGGUGGGGUAACGGCUCACCUAGGCGACGAUCCCUAGCUGGUCUGAGAGGAUGACCAGCCACACUGGAACUGAGACACGGUCCAGACUCCUACGGGAGGCAGCAGUGGGGAAUAUUGCACAAUGGGCGCAAGCCUGAUGCAGCCAUGCCGCGUGUGUGAAGAAGGCCUUCGGGUUGUAAAGCACUUUCAGCGAGGAGGAAGGGUAAUGUGUU
rnacentral:rRNA from 1 species